rnacentral:rRNA from 1 species
GGUUAAGCGACUAAGCGUACACGGUGGAUGCCCUGGCAGUCAGAGGCGAUGAAGGACGUGCUAAUCUGCGAUAAGCGUCGGUAAGGUGAUAUGAACCGUUAUAACCGGCGAUUUCCGAAUGGGGAAACCCAGUGUGAUUCGUCACACUAUCAUUAACUGAAUCCAUAGGUUAAUGAGGCGAACCGGGGAACUGAAACAUCUAAGUACCCCGAGGAAAAGAAAUCAACCGAGAUUCCCCCAGUAGCGGCGAGCGAACGGGGAGCAGCCCAGAGCCUGAAUCAGUGUGUGUGUUAGUGGAAGCGUCUGGAAAGGCGUGCGAUACAGGGUGACAGCCCCGUACACAAAAAUGCACAUACUGUGAGCUCGAUGAGUAGGGCGGGACACGUGGUAUCCUGUCUGAAUAUGGGGGACCAUCCUCCAAGGCUAAAUACUCCUGACUGACCGAUAGUGAACCAGUACCGUGAGGGAAAGGCGAAAAGAACCCCGGCGAGGGGAGUGAAAAAGAACCUGAAACCGUGUACGUACAAGCAGUGGGAGCACGCUUAGGCGUGUGACUGCGUACCUUUUGUAUAAUGGGUCAGCGACUUAUAUUCUGUAGCAAGGUUAACCGAAUAGGGGAGCCGAAGGGAAACCGAGUCUUAACUGGGCGUUAAGUUGCAGGGUAUAGACCCGAAACCCGGUGAUCUAGCCAUGGGCAGGUUGAAGGUUGGGUAACACUAACUGGAGGACCGAACCGACUAAUGUUGAAAAAUUAGCGGAUGACUUGUGGCUGGGGGUGAAAGGCCAAUCAAACCGGGAGAUAGCUGGUUCUCCCCGAAAGCUAUUUAGGUAGCGCCUCGUGAAUUCAUCUCCGGGGGUAGAGCACUGUUUCGGCAAGGGGGUCAUCCCGACUUACCAACCCGAUGCAAACUGCGAAUACCGGAGAAUGUUAUCACGGGAGACACACGGCGGGUGCUAACGUCCGUCGUGAAGAGGGAAACAACCCAGACCGCCAGCUAAGGUCCCAAAGUCAUGGUUAAGUGGGAAACGAUGUGGGAAGGCCCAGACAGCCAGGAUGUUGGCUUAGAAGCAGCCAUCAUUUAAAGAAAGCGUAAUAGCUCACUGGUCGAGUCGGCCUGCGCGGAAGAUGUAACGGGGCUAAACCAUGCACCGAAGCUGCGGCAGCGACGCUUAUGCGUUGUUGGGUAGGGGAGCGUUCUGUAAGCCUGUGAAGGUGUGCUGUGAGGUAUGCUGGAGGUAUCAGAAGUGCGAAUGCUGACAUAAGUAACGAUAAAGCGGGUGAAAAGCCCGCUCGCCGGAAGACCAAGGGUUCCUGUCCAACGUUAAUCGGGGCAGGGUGAGUCGACCCCUAAGGCGAGGCCGAAAGGCGUAGUCGAUGGGAAACAGGUUAAUAUUCCUGUACUUGGUGUUACUGCGAAGGGGGACGGAGAAGGCUAUGUUGGCCGGGCGACGGUUGUCCCGGUUUAAGCGUGUAGGCUGGUUUUCCAGGCAAAUCCGGAAAAUCAAGGCCGAGGCGUGAUGACGAGGCACUACGGUGCUGAAGCAACAAAUGCCCUGCUUCCAGGAAAAGCCUCUAAGCAUCAGGUAACAUCAAAUCGUACCCCAAACCGACACAGGUGGUCAGGUAGAGAAUACCAAGGCGCUUGAGAGAACUCGGGUGAAGGAACUAGGCAAAAUGGUGCCGUAACUUCGGGAGAAGGCACGCUGAUACGUAGGUGAAGCGACUUGCUCGUGGAGCUGAAAUCAGUCGAAGAUACCAGCUGGCUGCAACUGUUUAUUAAAAACACAGCACUGUGCAAACACGAAAGUGGACGUAUACGGUGUGACGCCUGCCCGGUGCCGGAAGGUUAAUUGAUGGGGUUAGCGCAAGCGAAGCUCUUGAUCGAAGCCCCGGUAAACGGCGGCCGUAACUAUAACGGUCCUAAGGUAGCGAAAUUCCUUGUCGGGUAAGUUCCGACCUGCACGAAUGGCGUAAUGAUGGCCAGGCUGUCUCCACCCGAGACUCAGUGAAAUUGAACUCGCUGUGAAGAUGCAGUGUACCCGCGGCAAGACGGAAAGACCCCGUGAACCUUUACUAUAGCUUGACACUGAACAUUGAGCCUUGAUGUGUAGGAUAGGUGGGAGGCUUUGAAGUGUGGACGCCAGUCUGCAUGGAGCCGACCUUGAAAUACCACCCUUUAAUGUUUGAUGUUCUAACGUGGACCCGUGAUCCGGGUUGCGGACAGUGUCUGGUGGGUAGUUUGACUGGGGCGGUCUCCUCCUAAAGAGUAACGGAGGAGCACGAAGGUUGGCUAAUCCUGGUCGGACAUCAGGAGGUUAGUGCAAUGGCAUAAGCCAGCUUGACUGCGAGCGUGACGGCGCGAGCAGGUGCGAAAGCAGGUCAUAGUGAUCCGGUGGUUCUGAAUGGAAGGGCCAUCGCUCAACGGAUAAAAGGUACUCCGGGGAUAACAGGCUGAUACCGCCCAAGAGUUCAUAUCGACGGCGGUGUUUGGCACCUCGAUGUCGGCUCAUCACAUCCUGGGGCUGAAGUAGGUCCCAAGGGUAUGGCUGUUCGCCAUUUAAAGUGGUACGCGAGCUGGGUUUAGAACGUCGUGAGACAGUUCGGUCCCUAUCUGCCGUGGGCGCUGGAGAACUGAGGGGGCUGCUCCUAGUACGAGAGGACCGGAGUGGACGCAUCACUGGUGUUCGGGUUGUCAUGCCAAUGGCACUGCCCGGUAGCUAAAUGCGGAAGAGAUAAGUGCUGAAAGCAUCUAAGCACGAAACUUGCCCCGAGAUGAGUUCUCCCUGACCCUUUAAGGGUCCUGAAGGAACGUUGAAGACGACGACGUUGAUAGGCCGGGUGUGUAAGCGCAGCGAUGCGUUGAGCUAACCGGUACUAAUGAACCGUGAGGCUUAACCUU